rnacentral:lncRNA from 1 species
GUAGUCUGACGUAAAUCCGUUCUUCACCAGAUGUUUGCCCAUGUCUAGCUUGGUUUGCCGACGCAUGUUUCCACAUUUGCUACACGGACACCAAGUCGAUCGAGCUCCAUUGACACUUGCAAACGCCCGUUCCAAGAAAGCAUCCAUCUUGUCAAGCCAUUCAUUGGUCAACGUAUUCUGACUAGUGCGACCCGUGUACAUCCACUGACGAUCCUCUAUCCUCUACCAUUUAAGUCAGUAAUACUAAAUUCACAUUGCAUAUACACGUUCCUAUAUUGUCUACUAGGUAAAGAUAGGUCCUAAUCCCACCCGAGGAUGUGUAGGUGGGUUUAGUAUCCAUGGUCUACUCCGACCCGAGAUAAAAUUUCGGCAGCACCUCCCC